rnacentral:misc_RNA from 1 species
GAAAUCCCACAAAAAAACCUAAUCUUUUUAUCAUGGAUAUCAACCCUUCUAAGUUCACAAACCACACUUCAGACCUUGAAAUGUCCAUGGAAAACCAAAUCUUCCAUGACCAAAUUCCUUUCAACUCAUAUUGUCCUGCAGGUUACUCUCUCCAAACACACCAAACACCUUCUUCUUCUUCUACUACUCCCAUCCCCAUCUCAACCUUUCUUGUUGACCACAUAGGCAUAGGAAACGAUCACA